AUGAUUCUUCAUUCAUUAUCAUGUCGAUUCCUCACAAUCGCUCUUUGUGAUGCUGCGGAACCAUGGCAAUUAGGAUCUCAAGACGCAGCAACACCUAUGAUGCAAGGAAUCAUUGACUUACAUCACGAUAUCUUUUUCUUCCUCAUUCUUAUUUUGGUUUUCGUAUCACGGAUGUUGGUUCGCGCUUUAUGGCAUUUCAACGAGCAAACUAAUCCAAUCCCACAAAGGAUUGUUCAUGGAACUACUAUCGAAAUUAUUCGGACCAUAUUUCCAAGUGUCAUUCUUUUGUUCAUUGCUAUACCAUCGUUUGCUCUGUUAUACUCAAUGGACGGGGUAUUAGUAGAUCCAGCCAUUACUAUCAAAGCUAUUGGACAUCAAUGGUAUCGAAGUGCGCCUCUUAACGAGGGUGAUUUAAGUGCAACGAAAUGUACCGGUGGUUCGCGAAGCAUCUGGCUUACCGGUCAUCUCCCAUUCCCGUCGUUGAGAGACUAA
rnacentral:rRNA from 1 species